rnacentral:lncRNA from 1 species
UAGUGCAAAGGUUGGGAGUUUGUAUAUAAAUAUGUGUAUGUGCGGUUGAAUGUGAUUCGGCCCCUUGUUGACCUGAUGAAGCGGAGGAAGUGCUUGCGAGCGAUGUUUAGCUGUACCCAUUGGAGGCUGUUUGUUUAAACAGUUGUUGUGAAAACCCCCUGUUGCAGGAAUAAUGUUGAACCUUGUUCUGGGAAUGAAUCGAUUAACUUGGAACUUGUUAGAAUUCCUUGAGUACUUAUGGCAUCUUUUUGGUGAGAAGGUUUCGAUUGCAGGCCAUCACAAUUCGAUUGUAGCCGCGGAAGCGAUGAUGGGCAGGGAGCGAUGCCGGCCACGUAGUGGCAAGUCGCCACCGCCGGCUUGCCGGAGGCGACUUGCCGCUCGGCCUGACCGUCACUCGUGAGUCGUCGCUGAGAUGUUCCGUAGCUCAGGAGCCAACAACUACCAUAUUUGGGGUUUGUGUUCCGCAAGACGGCCAUUUUUAUUGGGAUUGUCUAUUUGACAUUUGACUGAUUUCCUAUUGGAUAUCAUUCAAAUUUUCUGACCAAUAUCCGGUUGACAUCUGUAUAGCCCAAAACCACUGAUACUGUUCGUUCCCACUAAACGGGUUGGACUUAAAAAAAAGAAGACCCGGUUGUCAACUAAACCAAAAGAGCAAGAGAACCCCACGCAAUCCCUCCCAGCAGCUUCCCUGGACCACACCUGACAACAAAAAGUAGAAGCAAAAGAGCAAUUAAACAUCUCUGCUUGAACUCGCCUCCCAAGAAACAAAUAAAGUUACAGUGAGCAUACACAUAAAUGAAAAAGAAAUUACUUGAGAUUGUCAAGCCCUCCAUCAUCACUAGAGAUUUCCUGAAAUAAAAGUGAAGUGAACAUACACAUAAAUUUUAAAAUGAAAAGAAAUAAUUCAAAUUAAUUAAAACUAGGGAAGAAAAAGAAAUAAAUACCAAAGACAUAGGAUUAGAACCAUCAUCUGCAAGAUCAUUAGGCACAAACAGAUCAUUCAGAGAAUCUGCACUCUCAAGAGAAGAGACUAGUGGUACAUCCUUGUGAGAAACUUUCUGCAUUGAACCAAACCUAAACUCACAAAGGCAAAAAUCAUUAGGCAAAUGGAGCAGAACCAACACAAACACUAUAACCAACAAUCCCCAGACCUAGAUCUAGAAGCUACAAAACCACAAACCAGACAACUGAAUAUUAAACGCAUGGACAAAACAUGAGACUGUAAGCCAUGCAUGUCAUACUUUAACUACAGUUCUCAACCACACAGAUUACAGUGAAAAACUCUAGGGAAAUACACUGUAAGACUCUGGAGAAAUACAUAGUAAGUCAUACUGUAAUUACAGUCCUCAAGCACACAAAUUACAGUGUAAUACUCUACAGAAAAUACAGUGUAAAAGUCUGGUGAAUUACAUUGUAAGUCAUACUUUAAUUGCAGUCAAGCACACAAAUUAUAGUGUAAUACUCUAGGGAAAUACAGUGUAAAAGUCUGAUGAAUUAAAUUGUAAGUCAUACUGAAAUUACAGUCCUCAAGCACACAAAUUACAGUGUAAUACUCUAGGGAUAAGACAGUAAAAGUCUGAUGAAUUACAUUGUAAGUCAUACUGAAAUUACAGUCCUCAAACAUACAAAUUUACAAUGUAAGUCUAGGGAAAUACAAUGUAAAACUCUGGUGAAUUGCAUUGUAAGUCAUACAAAAAUUGCAUUGUAACCAUACAAAUUACAGUGUAAAACUCUAGGGAAAUACACUAUAAUUACAUGAGUGGUUGGGCUAAAUUUACAAAGUAAACUACACAGUGAUCUGGGAGUAUACACAGUGACUCCAGGGCAUAAAAACACUGUAAAUCUGGGCGAAUACACUGUAAAUUACAUGAGUAAUUGAGCUAAAUUACUGUGAACAUAAAUAGGACAAAUUACACAGUGAUUCCAGGCAUAAUAUACUGAAAAAUCUGCAUAUACACAGUACAUGAGUAAUUGGGCUAAAUUCCUGUGAACAUACUAGGACAAAUUACACAGUGAUUCCGGGCAUAAAUACAUUGAAAAAUCUUGCAUAUCUGGGAAUAUACACUGGAAUUAGGGGGGAAAUUACACAAUACUGAUAGCACAAAUUACACUGUAAUCGAACAAUAAAUAACACAGUAUUUGGGAGAAUGACACAGUAAUUACAGAUAUGGGAGAAUUACACUGUAAAGCAUGUUAAUUACACUGUAAAAAUGGCAGAAUUAUACUGCAAAAGGUGGGACAGUGAGGUUCUGCAAACCUAUUACACAGUAGUUACACUGUAAUUCUGGGGGUAUGAUCCACUGUACUUUUGAGCUACAUUACAUGUCUCGGGGGUAAAAUUACACAGUAAUAGAAGCAUCAAAUUCAGAGAGCUUCCUGGAACACAUUCAGACAUGCCUCAUCUACCAGGGGAAAAUCAUAAGCAGCCACCUGCAACUACAAAAAAGCAGGCCAGAUCAUCCCCAACUGUCACCUAACGGCAAGGGAACAGACACCCCAAGCUAGCAGAAAACAGGAAAUCACCCGCUGCAACAACCAGUACGCCUACCUCCACCAUCUACAGCACAAAAUAAAACAAAUCUAAAAGCCUACAUCCACAUCUACACAGCAAAACGGAAACCCUAGAACCCGCAACUACAAAAGCUCCUACACAACGCAGGCUAGCACAAAAGGGGGCGGGUGAAAUUGGGCGGAUUCACCAAGAACAACAAACAGAACAUCCACGAAGACGAGAACUCAGCUAGAUUUGGAACUACACGACCAGAGCACAAGCGGAAACACCUGGGGCCAGCGGGGGGAUUAGGGGAACCAACCUCGGCAGCCGGGGGCAAAGAGAAUAGGGAGGACAAAAUCAAAAUCGAACGGUGGAAUAGCUCGGAAUCGCCUCUCUCCUCCGCCUCUCUCCUUCGCCGCUCGAGCUCUCUCCCUCGGCCUUAUCGAAACAGAGCGACCCAAAUGAAAAGGGAGACGACACCCACUCGGAAAUUCAAGCAGGACAAAAACCAAUAGUACCGCGACGGGGCGGUUUCGGGUUGAGAUAAAGAAAACCGAACCCGACAACAGCAAACCAAACUGAGCGAACAGAGCGCCAGCGCAAAGAAAAAAAGAAAACGAACGCGAAUCUCCGCGCCAGAACGGACGGACAGAAAUUUGAAUGACGAUGAAUUGAAAAGCAGCUGACUGUAAAAUAGCAAAUCCGUUUUUAUUUUAUUACUACGAUUUGGUUCCCUGACUAGCCCCACCGCCCAGCGAACGUUUCUGCCACCCAGGCCUUUUCCUGACUCCAGGCCCAAACCAUCUUUCCUUGUUGAGCCAAACAAAAAAAAAACACUUCAAAAAUAUCACAUGCAGAUAGAAACUGCACCCUCAAGCCUACAAUUGGACAUUUUGGCCUCAUUUUGAAAUAGUCAAACACACAGAAAAAACCGUAAAAAU